AUUUUACAUGUAUUUGUCUGCUGGAAAGGUUAUCUGUACUGGAGCUGACCUGCAGAGACAAGGUUGAGCCUAGCGGUCUUAAUAGAAAAGGUUUUCAGCUAUGACUGCCGUACUUGAUUGCAUUGUAAUGGGUUCCUGCUUCCCAGGCAAGGAGGAUGCUUGUGGCAGCUGACAAAGGCACGGG
rnacentral:lncRNA from 1 species